AAACCGUGAGGUGGACAACAUCUCAACAAGUCCUUAUACCUCUCCCAGGCGUCAUACAUGCUCUCGUCGUCCAUCUGCACAAAAGAAGAAAUGUCAUUUCUUAAUUU
rnacentral:snoRNA from 1 species